UCCUGGUUAGCUCAGUUGGUAAAGCGCUCCAAUGGAUAUGGAGAGGUGUCUGGUUCGAUACCAGGACCAGGCG
rnacentral:tRNA from 1 species